rnacentral:rRNA from 1 species
GAUGAACGCUGGCGGCGUGCCCAAUACAUGCAAGUCGAGCGAACGGACGAGAAGCUUGCUUUUCUGAUGUUAGCGGCGGACGGGUGAGUAACACGUGGAUAACCUACCUAUAAGACUGGGAUAACUUCGGGAAACCGGAGCUAAUACCGGAUAAUAUUUUGAACCGCAUGGUUCAAAAGUGAAAGACGGUCUUGCUGUCACUUAUAGAUGGAUCCGCGCUGCAUUAGCUAGUUGGUAAGGUAACGGCUUACCAAGGCAACGAUGCAUAGCCGACCUGAGAGGGUGAUAGGCCACACUGGAACUGAGACACGGUCCAGACUCCUACGGGAGGCAGCAGUAGGGAAUCUUCCGCAAUGGGCGAAAGCCUGACGGAGCAACGCCGCGUGAGUGAUGAAGGUCUUCGGAUCGUAAAACUCUGUUAUUAGGGAAGAACAUAUGUGUAAGUAACUGUGCACAUCUUGACGGUACCUAAUCAGAAAGCCACGGCUAACUACGUG